rnacentral:rRNA from 1 species
UACGUAGGGGGCAAGCGUUGUCCGGAAUCAUUGGGCGUAAAGAGCGUGUAGGCGGUCCGGUAAGUCGGUUGUGAAAGUCCAGGGCUCAACCCUGGGAUGCCGACCGAUACUGUCGGACUAGAGUUCGGAAGAGGCGAGUGGAAUUCCCGGUGUAGCGGUGAAAUACGCAGAUAUCGGGAGGAACACCUAUGGCGAAGGCAGCUCGCUGGGACGUUACUGACGCUGAGACGCGAAAGCGUGGGGAGCAAACAGG